CAUGAAUAUUCUUUUCCGGAUUGAAGUUCGAUUGAAGUCAAUCAAAUUCUUGGUUUAUUAAUUUAGUUGCAGCUAAGAGAAAAAAUAAUAGACAUGGCGAACCCCAUGCGCAUUAAAGAAGAGGUUAUUGCAGACGAUACUAGCGAGGUAAUCGAGAUACCGGACACUGAUGACAUUUGUGAAUUGGAGCACUUACGUAAGCUAUUUAUCGGCGGACUGGCCCCUUACACUACAGAGGAGAACCUCAAGGUGUACUAUGGACAAUGGGGAAAAGUCGUUGAUGUUGUGGUGAUGCGGGACUCUGCUACAAAGCGUUCGCGUGGCUUCGGCUUUAUUACAUACACAAAGUCGGCAAUGGUUGACAAAGCUCAAGAAAAUCGACCUCAUAUUAUAGACGGAAAAGCCGUAGAAGCGAAGAGGGCGCUGCCUCGACCAGAGCGUGAGGCACGUGAAACAAAUAUUUCCGUAAAGAAGCUUUUUGUCGGCGGACUAAAAGACAAUCAUGACGAGGAAUGCCUGAAUGAGUAUUUCGCACAAUUCGGCCGUGUUAUCUCCGUGAAGCUGCUCGUAGACCGAACCACUGGGAAACGCAGAGGAUUUGCCUUCGUCGAGUUCGAUGAUUACGAUGCUGUAGACAAAGCCAUAUUAAAAAGAGAGCACUGCAUUAAGUAUGUGCUGGUAGAUGUCAAAAAAUCUAUUUACAAUAUCGAAAAGAAUGACAAGUCGGGACAUGGUGUGGUUGCAAAUGGUGGUACAAAGCAACUACAAGCGCCUCCGAAUAACAAAAAGUCUGCGCCCGGCUAUCGUCCGCCAGCACCUUCACAACCAAUCCAACCCUAUCAGGGGCCACCGCCUCCGCCUAUGAGUGCGCCGCCGCCAAACUAUAGCUACUGGGGCCCACCACCCCCAAUGCAACAGUAUUACCCACAGGGGCCGCCACCAAUGAAUGCCUGGAACGCAUAUCCGCCACCACAGAAUGGCUGGAAUGCGCCACCACCACCACCGGGUGCUCAGUGGAAUGCCAAUCAGUGGGGUCCGCCGCCUGUACAACCGCCGCCGGCAGGUGUACCACCAGCAGAUCAUUAUCGCAACGGACCACCACCUUCAGGAAAUUGGAACAUGCCACCAGGUGCGGCUGCACCUGUUUCUGGUGCGCAACCCAAUGGCGCCAUACCGGCUAAUCAGGCACCACCACCGCAACAACAACAACAACCACCUAAUUUCGGCAGUGGCUAUCAACAAAACUAUGGCGGAGGACCGACUAAACAUAACAACAUGAAUACAAAUCGCAUGAAUCCGUACCCCGUUGCACCGCCGGCCAAUAACUACUACAAUGCGCAACCUCCUACCCCCGGUUACGGACCUUACAGUUCUGCAGUCCCACCAAAUGGCACUGCAGCUCCCUCGGGACCUGUGCCCAAGAAUGUCUCCAAUGGUUCGGUGGCCACUGGAGCUAGCGCUAAUAGCAAAUAUCGACGAUAACUUUGGGUAAGUUUGAAUUACUAUUCGUGCUGCUUUCCGCCAUAAGCAUUUAUCCAACACUACUCAGCAAAAAACCAACCGAUAAUAAACGUCCUUGUCUCAGUCUCUAUUAAAUUCCUUAAAUACAUACACACGUGCAUUUUGUGCUACACAAAAGCUAAACAAAAAAAAUUAUAGGCUCGUUAUAAGCUUAGUAACUUAAAACAGGACAUAUACCGCAUUGUCUCUCUCCCUCUCUCUUUAUAUAUAUAAAUAUAUAUAUGGAUAUCUAAGCCACGUCUAUAUACGAUUUUUAAUUAUAAGCCUAAGGUAUCAGUACAUUUUAUGAAAAUAUCUAUUUAGUAUACAUACAUACAUUAUACACAAAUAGCCCACGAGUACAUACUAUAUACAAACGUUUUAUAAACUAUACUUCGCACAACUCUGAGAGCGAAGAAGCGAAAAGGUGUUUUAAUUUAUUUUUUAACAACAGGUUAUUGGAAUUUCUUUAAGACAACAUCUAGCGUUCUCUAUCCUUUGUGAAAAUGUAACUCAGCUCCCACUUUUGCGAUACACGAAAGCUCAAGUAAUUAAUGUAUUUUUGUAUAAUUAAAGAGUAUUAUUACUUCGUAAAAUGAAUUAAGAAUUAUAUAUAUGCCGUAUAGCAUUAUGGCUUAAUAAGCUUAUUGGUCAAGUGCUGAGUAAUAAAUGCCUUUUAUUGCAUUUCACAUGAAAUGUUGCUGUUGUCGGCGUUAGAAAUCUUAAAUACGUCCAUGAGCCAAGAUUCGAGCUGGCGGGCAUCGCAAGGGUGGGUGUCACACAAAACCAAAUAAGCGUCAAUUUUAUAAACAAAAGAUAAAUUCGAUGUAACAGAUAUGAAUACCAACGUAUUUUGUAAUACUUAAGUGAGCUCACACAGACGAAAUAUCUGUUUAAAUAAUAGUCUAUUAAGAGGAAGUAAAAUGAAUUAAUGGUCGCAGGAAUUAAAGAGCACCACUAUUAUUAUUUUAUGUAUAUUAUAAGCAUGUUUCAAUAAACUAUUUCAGUUGCUUUUUUUUAUUACAAUGAAGCCUUUCGCAAUUUUUGUUAGCUUUGUGAGCUCACAUUGUAAAAGUCUUACUCAAGAUAGGGUUUCAAUGCUAUCAACAUGGAAUAAUAUUUGAUCCUUGUAAUAAUUCUCUACCUAAUUAUUUCUAUAAUAGUAAAGAUUUUCCAAUAUAAUAAAAUAAACAGCAAAGGAAUAUAUAAGAUAGUCACGAAUUUAAAUAAUCAACUAGGUCUAAUACCAAUUAAUAAUAACUCAAUGCAGAUUUCAAUUUUGAUUACCACAAAUCGAAUGUAAAAAAAAUAAUGGACUAAUUCAUAAAUACAUGAAAAAAUAAUGAAAACAAUAUAUUAUAUGUUCAUAUAGAAUACAUUUUGAAUAAAGCUCUAACCAGCGCAUGCGCAACUGCUUGGAGUGUGAUUGAAAAACGAAAAAAGAUAUUGAGUGUAUAUGAUCAUUAUAAAAUACAAUACAAUUAGCAGCCAUGACAUAAACUCUUAGGCUUAGAUUGUACAGAAAUGAUUUGCUUUGUAGACAUCCUUAAGUUCUAGCACAUACCAAAAUCUUAAAACUUACUUUUAUCGCAUAUGUAUGGAUAAUGUAAGAGCAAAGCUUAGCCCCUAAAUUGCCAGCCUAUUUAAGCUUAUUCUACAUAACGAAAUUACUAUUUACAAUCUACUUAUGUUAUUCAAAGCACUACAUUUAUUUUAAAUAAAUAAAAACUGAGCAAAACAAUAAUGCUACAUA